UACUGCUCCUCCUUGGUUGGUGCUGCUGUAGGCCCUCCUUGGUUGGUGCUGCUGUAGGUCCUCCUUGGUUGGUGCUGCUCCUCCUUGGUUGGUGCUGCUGUAGGUCCUCCUUGGUUGGUGCUGCUCCUCCUUGGUUGGUGCUGCUGUAGGUCCUCCUUGGUUGGUGCUGCGGUAGGUCCUCCUUGGUUGGUGCUGCUCCUCCUUGGUUGGUGCUGCUGUAGGUCCUCCUUGGUUGGUGCUGCUCCUCCUUGGUUGGUGCUGCUGUAGGCCCUCCUUGGUUGGUGCUGCUGUAGGCCCUCCUAGGUUGGUGCUGCUGUAGGCCCUCCUUGGUUGGUGCUGCUGUAGGUCCUCCUUGGUUGGUGCUGCUGUAGGCCCUCCUUGGUUGGUGCUGCUGUAGGCCCUCCUAGUUGGUGCUGCUGUAGGCCCUCCUUGGUUGGUGCUGCUGUAGGCCCUCCUUGGUUGGUG
ensembl:lncRNA